GCGCGUUCCGGCUCCGCGCGCCUGUCAGGCCGGGGCCGGCGGCGGAACAGCUUGGGACCCGAAACGCCUCGGCUUUUCUGCGGACCCGCGCCCGGCCGCUGCUGCCGGACGCUUGAAAAGAAGCAGAGUCUUGCUUUGUUGUCCAGGCUGGUCUUGAACUCCUAAGCUCAAGUGAUCCUCCCGCCUUGGCCUCCCAAAGUGCUGAGACUACAGAGAGAGAAUGCUAAUGAGCUGUGAAAUGACCAAAGAUCUGGCAGCAGAAGGGAAAAGAAAAAAUAACAGGAACAAGAGGCUUUAUCUGACUCAACUGGAGAUGGCUCCCUUCCCUAAUUUAUUGUUGCAUCCUGAAGCUUCCCCCAUGCUGGGCUCAGUGUGAACAAACAGUGCGGGAGAAUGCAACCACUGCAGAGGCAUAUGUUUGAGAUGCCUGGCCACUGGAGGUCAUCUCGUCUACUAUGUUCACCACAGAUAAAGAAUGAAAAGAGAAUAUACAACCUUGUGAUUGCUAGCAGUGAAAGCUCAGAGUUAUGACAUAACAGUUGCCAAGUGGAGGUUGCUAAGGAAGAAGUGCUGAGUGAAAACGCGACACAAGCUGCAUACUUUUUACAAACAGUAGCAGUUCUCCUGUCCAGCCUGCUACCAUUGGA